rnacentral:rRNA from 1 species
CCUACGGGAGGCAGCAGUGGGGGAUAUUGCACAAUGGGGGGAACCCUGAUGCAGCGACGCCGCGUGGGUGAAGGCGCGUUUCGGCGCGUAAAGCCCUAUCGGCAGGGAAGCAGGCGGACGGUACCUGACUAAGAAGCCCCGGCUAACUACGUGCCAGCAGCCGCGGUAAUACGUAGGGGGCAAGCGUUCUCCGGAUUUCCUGGGGGUAAAGGGGGCGCAGACGGCAGCGCAAGCCAGGCGUGAAAGCCCGGGGCCCAACCCCGGGACUGCUCUUGGAACUGCGCGGCUGGAGUGCAGGAGGGGCAGGCGGAAUGCCUGGUGUAGCGGUGAAAUGCGUAGAUAUCAGGAGGAAC